GACGAAGAACGCAGCGAAAUGCGAUAAGUAAUGUGAAUUGCAGAAUUCAGUGAAUCAUCGAAUCUUUGAACGCACAUUGCGCCCGCCAGUAUUCUGGCGGGCAUGCCUGUUCGAGCGUCAUUUCAACCAUCAAGCCCCCGGCUUGUGUUGGGGACCUGCGGCUGCCCGCAGGCCCUGAAAACCAGUGGCGGGCUCGCUGUCACUCCGAGCGUAGUAGCAUAUAUCUCGCUCAGGGCGUGCUGCGGGUUCCGGCCGUUAAAAGCCUUUUUUUACCCAAGGUUGACCUCGGAUCAGGUAGGAAGACCCGCUGAACUUAAGCAUAUCAAUAAGCGGAGGA
rnacentral:misc_RNA from 1 species